UACAGAGGUCCCGAGCGUUGUUCGGAUUCACUGGGCGUAAAGGGUGCGUAGGUGGCGGGGUAAGUUUGAUGUGAAAGCUCAGGGCUUAACCCUGAAAUGGCAUUGAAUACUACUUUGCUGGAGGUUUGGAGGGGGGACUGGAAUUCUUGGUGUAGCAGUGAAAUGCGUAGAUAUCAAGAGGAACACCAGUGGCGAAGGCGAGUCCCUGGACAACACCUGACACUGAGGCACGAAAGCUAGGGGAGCAAACAGG
rnacentral:rRNA from 1 species